CCCGAGUUGAAUUGAUAUAAAGUUGAUAAGUCACAUCAACUAGCCUCAUGAAGACGUCAAAUCAAUUUAAACCUUAAGAGCAGAAAGGAUUUUGGCAAAGAUCUCCUUCUGAAAUUGGCGGCGUAUCUUCUGAUAGAGGUCCUCGGAGUGCACUUCGCCUCGAUAUCAUGGGCAGGCGAUUCGGUCAGUUCGGCAGAAUCGUCUAUGUCUCACAGUGUGAUAGCAGGUCGUUGAUAUUGGAGAUAUCACUUCGGAACCACUUCAAACGGGUGUCUAGCAGAUCGGAGUGUGUGGUGGUCGACAUUCCGAGGUGGUUCAGACAGGGGCGUAACAACGUCUAUCUUGAUAAUGUAGCAUUAUUGAAGAUAUCAUACCUUGGUAAGUUGCAGGCAUGGGGUUGCCAUUUGUAUUUGAGGUAUAAGGUAUCAGAGCGGCCAUUGUUUUGACAGUUGAACUCUCUCUCAAUGAAUGGACAGGAUUUUAAUUGUAGAGGGGAUGAUGAAUCAGUGACCCAACUUCCUUCAAACAAAUCACAAUUCUUUGCAUUUGAUUGGUUGAUUCUAAGAAAAAUAAACAGCACCGCACAAAAUAUACAGAACUGAGCCUACAGAUUCAUCUCUCUCUCUAAAAUGCAAGAAGUUUAGAGAGAGAAAGUAACUAGGAAUGGCCUCUUCUUGUCACUUCUCUCCUUUCUCAAUCAGUGUUCUCUUUCUGUGUGCAUUAAAUAGAGCUUUG
rnacentral:lncRNA from 1 species